rnacentral:misc_RNA from 1 species
GAUGAAGAACGCAGUGAAAUGCGAUAAUUAAUGUGAAUUGCAGAAUUCCGUGAAUCAUCGAGUCUUUGAACGCACAUUGCGCCUCAUGGCAUUCCGUGAGGCAUGCCCAUCUCAGCGUUAGAAAAUAUUCUCAAAUUUUAGUUUUGUGCUAAAAUUUGGAUCAUGUCAAGGAAGCUAUUACUAUUAUUGUGAUCGCUCUUUGGAAAUUGAUAGGUCUUUGAGUUGCUACUCAUAGAACGUGAUGAAUCUUUCUUCGUUCUAUUGUAAUUCACUCCGGUAGUCCUAAAACUUGUAUGCCUGUGGCAUAUCUUGUAAUUUGACCUGAGAUUGGGUAGGGAUACCCGCUGAACUUAAGCAUAUCAAUAAGCGGAGGA